rnacentral:snRNA from 1 species
GGUGAACAAACUUCAUUCACCCC